GAUGAGUGGAAAGGGAGAAGAUUGCUGGGAGUUAUUGGUAUGGGAGGAUUGGGCAAGAUUAAUCGCUUGCUUUGUUUGAAAGCAAAGACUAGAUAAAUUUUCCCAAGGCCUCCUAUACCAAUGAACUCCAGCAGUUUCCUCCCCUUCCUCACACUA
rnacentral:pre_miRNA from 1 species